CCUCUCUUUCUAAAACCAGAACCACUUUCUCGCUGAUUAGAAAUUUUCUUCUGGUUCUUGGUUUACAGAUUCUCUUGGCUUCUGUUUGGUUGGUGGGAAAGCAUCUUGGGCAAUUUCAGCUCGCAAUUCCAGUGAGUUACUGGACAUUCUACUGUCGAAUUAAGUUUGCAGAUUUUGGAGGAUGAUCUCUUAGAGUAGAUGCACAUGUGGGGGCAUGGAUCACAAUAUCGUAGGGGGCCAGAGUCACUAAAGGGAACACAAACCGUGAGCCAUGUUAGGCAUCCCAUGCUAUUGUUGUGCUGAAGGAUGCAAGAACAGCAUCGACCACCCAAGAGCAAAACCCCUAAAAGAUUUCCAGACCCUUCAAACGCACUACAAGAGGAAGCAUGGAAUGAAACCUUUUAUGUGUCGCAAGUGUGGCAAGUUGUUGGCGGUGAAAGGUGACUGGAGAACACAUGAGAAGAAUUGUGGCAAGCGCUGGCUUUGUGUAUGCGGUUUGGAUUUCAAGCAGAAGAGAUCACUCAAAGACCAUAUCAAGGCGGCUCUGGUCACACUCCUUUUCCACCUAAUUCUUUUGACGAACUCAGGGAGCUUGAUGAGGACACUAGUCACCUACCACCUCCUUGUUUAAAGGAUUGUCAAGUGAUGAUGCAGCCUCUUGAUGAUCAGCUAUAUGUAUAUAAGGCUAAUUGAUGUUUGAGGCACGAAACUUUAUGUACUCCCCCCUUAAACUUCAUGGCUAUGAUUUGAACUGAGAAUUUCUAUAAGUCUGAU